rnacentral:rRNA from 1 species
AUGAACGCUGGCGGCGUGCCUAAUACAUGCCAGUCGAGCGAACAGACGAGGAGCUUGCUCCUCUGACGUUAGCGGCGGCCGGGUGAGUAACACGUGGAUAACCUACCUAUAAGACUGGGAUAACUUCGGGAAACCGGAGCUAAUACCGGAUAAUAUAUUGAACCGCAUGGUUCAAUAGUGAAAGACGGUUUUGCUGUCACUUAUAGAUGGAUCCGCGCCGCAUUAGCUAGUUGGUAAGGUAACGGCUUACCAAGGCAACGAUGCGUAGCCGACCUGAGAGGGUGAUCGGCCACACUGGAACUGAGACACGGUCCAGACUCCUACGGGAGGCAGCAGUAGGGAAUCUUCCGCAAUGGGCGAAAGCCUGACGGAGCAACGCCGCGUGAGUGAUGAAGGUCUUCGGAUCGUAAAACUCUGUUAUGAGGGAAGAACAAAUGUGUAAGUAACUAUGCACGUCUUGACGGUACCUAAUCAGAAAGCCACGGCUAACUACGUG